GAUGAACGCUAGCUACAGGCUUAACACAUGCAAGUCGAGGGGCAGCAUGGUCUUAGCUUGCUAAGUCCGAUGGCGACCGGCGCACGGGGGAGUAACACGUAUCCAACCGGCCGUCUACUCGUGGACAGCCUGCUGAAAGUAAGAUUAAUACAAUAUGGCAUCAUGAGUCCGCAUGUUCACAUGAUUAAAGGUAUUCCGGUAGACGAUGGGGAUGCGUUCCAUUAGAUAGUAGGCGGGGUAACGGCCCACCUAGUCUUCGAUGGAUAGGGGUUCUGAGAGGAAGGUACCCCACAUUGGAACUGCGACACGGUCCAAACUCCUACGGGAGGCAGCAGUAAGGAAUAUUGGUCACUGGGCGCAGGCCUGAACCAGCCAAGUAGCGUGAAGGAUGACUGCCCUAUGGGUUGUCAACUUCUUUUAUAAAGGAAUAAAAUGGGGUAUGUAUACCCGUUUGAAUGUACCUUAUGAAUAAGGAUCGGCUAACUCCGUG
rnacentral:rRNA from 1 species